UGCAUCGACAUCCAUAACCAUGCGUUGCCGCUCGCCACAGGGUAUUCUAAUGACGUUACACGCAUCAGAGGGCUGUGCUGAUGCGUGAUUUGCACGCAACGAUGCGCAUCACGACGCAUCGUCCUAUUUUACGUAUUGAAGUUAUUAGUAACGCGGUGAUCACAAAGAUGCUCCUGUUAAAAGCAAACACCCAUUCUAAUUUAAUUCAUUUUAUAAUUGACUGUAGGAUAGCGUUAAUUUUUGAUAUGCUUGAUAUGUUUUAAAACAAUUGAUCAGUUCUAAUUCAAUGCAAUCGUCGACCUUUCUGGCUAAGGCAUUAAUAAAAGCACUGUCAACACUGCGUGACAAGCAUUCUUCAUCGAUAAUAAGUUCUGAUCAAAGCUAACGGUUUGAAUCACAUUCCCAAGAUCAGCAGGAAGCAAUUACAGUUGUUGACUGGCAAGGAAUUCGACUAACGUUACCCUUCUUCUAUGUUCGUUGGAUGCUAAGAAUGAAACAAUCUAAAGUUGUUACUGUGGUUUCAACUGUAUAAUCUGAAUAAGAUGUGAAAGGUUAUUGUUGAAAUUGUAUUGAAUGUGAGUGUUCUCAAAUGAUCUCGCUUUAGAAAAGAUGUCUGAGCACAUUUUCUUUUCUAUAUUUUAUCCUGCGUGGUUUUGUUGACUGAUCAUUGUCAGAAACAAACUGUAGGCUACUUAAUUUCAGUGGAACUGUCUGAGUUAAGUCACGAGAAGGGCACACCAGAUCAAAUGCUUUGCAAAUGAGAUCAUAUCCACAUUUCCAGCAUAUACGAAGCAGGAAGCUUUACUCCGAGAUGUGAGCUAUGAUUGUAGAACUGUGAGCUGAAUGACAGAGACUCAUCAAGUGCUCAGUGUUACAGAGCCUCUCAGACACAGGGCCUCCUAAAUGAAAGCUUUCUGUCGAGGGGGGAGAGCGCGGCGUUUUCAUCAGGUGCAGCUGCAUCAUGUGUCAGCUGUGGCCAGUUUGUCACUUUUACCUCUGAGUCAACAUUUGCUGAUUUAAACCUCACUCCAUGGACCUGAGCACAACAUCAAGACUGAGGCUCUGUAUGUUUCUAUGGUGCAAUGAUCUCAUGGUAUAAUUUUGACAAAGGACAGAUGAGUUAUUCCUGACAUCGGCCAAUACUUUGCCCUCAAUGAACAACACACAAAGAGGGAGUUUCAACAACUGUUUUAAAAGAAUGGGAACAGAUGCAGUUGACAGGAGAAGGCCUGCAGCAGUCAGCGCGUUUCUUCAUUCCUCACAGAAUGUGUUCAGGCACUACACACAAUGGGAAAAUACUCCGAAACUUCCAUUUGCAGGGAAGGAAAUAAUUUGUCAUUUUUAAUUUAUCUUGUUCGGCUGGGCAUGGUGCACAGAUUGCGCAACAGGGAGUGAUCCUAAUAAACCCACUGAGCAAUUAUUUUUAAGUUCAGCAGCAGCUAAGUCCCGUAUUUCUUAGGUCUCCCCAAACCGUAGCUGGUCUCUGCGGCCACAGUGACUGCAUUGUUCCCGGAUGCCCUGGGAUCCCACCUGUGGCACUCUGGCAUCAGCGCAUGCAUGCAUGUGUCUCCCUGCAUAACUGGCAUCGCAGGGAAACGAUUCUUAGCUCAGCUAGCAUUUUAGCCAUUAAGUGACUCCAAUACACAAACUGCAAUCCUUACAGUAAAUUGGGAAGAUUAAUAACCACCCACAUAGCCACAUCAUAAAUGGAUAUAUUUAUUAUUGCAGCAUAAUUCAUGAACAUGUGUAAAUGUUCUACUGAUAAUCUGAAAUGUGCAAUGAGAAUCUGAAAUCUGAACUACUCAAAUUAAAUGCACAGAAAGGUCGUACCUGCAACUUUCAUCAUUGUAACUGGGUCACGACUUCAAUAGACAGGAUUAAAGGUGAGAUUGCAGUCUGAAGAAGGGUUCUGACCCGAAACAUCACCUGUUCCUUUUCUCCAGAGUUGCUGCCUGGCCCGUUGAGUUGCUCCAGUACUUUGUGUAUAUCUUCAGUGUAAACCAGCAUAUGCAGUUCCUUCCUACACAUUAAUUCAAUUAUUUUGCCGAACAUUAUUCUUGCACUUGCAUAACAGAACAU